UUGACAUGGCCGACUCUGGUGGCUGGCGGGUGAGCAUAGUGGGAACGCGGGAUGUGGUGGGGACUGGGGUGACAGGAUGAACCAGACCUUCCGCGAGGCACACCGUCUCUCCCCGCAGCCACCGCGGCCCUGCGAGGCCUACCACGCCGAGUGGAAGCUCUGCCGCAGCGCCGGGCACUUCCUGCACCACUACUACGUUCACGGUGAGCCGCCGGCCUGCGAGCAAUGGCUUCGCGACUUGGACAGCUGCCGCGACUGGGAGGAGCGCCGCAGCGCCCAGGCCCAGCAAUCCCUCUGCGACAGUGAGCGGACACGGGUCCAGGCUGCACGGAAACACACCCUGGUAUGGGCCCUGAGGCAGAAGCCCCCUGCAGACUGGCACCUUCCUCUGCCACAGGAGAAGGACAAGUGAUAAGUGACAAGCAAACCUGCUAUUGUCCUGUGCAGCCUCCUUGUCUAUUGCUUGUGCACAGCCCUAUGGACUUUAGCCCAAUGUAAUGGGUCCCAGUGAGCUACUGCCUGACCUGGAACACAGAGCAGGGCAUCUCCAGCUCUAACUGCCCUUCCUCACUUUCAUCAGGGUAUCCUGCUGCUGGGAUACUCUGAAAGACAACUGUUUACAAUUAUAGGAAGCCAAGUAUUGUGGCAAAAAUCUGUGAGCAGCCAUAUCAGCCCAUUCAUCCAUUCCACCUCUCCUGGGAACAUUAAAGGUGGCAGUCUUGAGGUGCAAGACUCUAGCUCAUCUUGUCUAUGGGAACCGGCCACCAUGUCACAGGUGUGGUGAUUACCUUAUAUUGUCAGCUGCUGGCAUUUAAGCAUGGAGUUCAUACUUGGAUCAACUCCACUGCAACACAGGUAAAGCAUGCUCAACAGACAUUGCAGCUGGUCCCACACACACAGCAGCACCCUUCUCUGCAGACCCUCAGAGAAGCACCUGAGGUGUUUGGGUUUUUGUUUGUUAGUUUAUUUUAACAACUUCCACGAUUGUAAAUAUCCCAUGGUAAUGCCUUCCCUCCCCCAACUUUCCCCUUUUAAACUCCAUUCUCCAUCAUAUCC